rnacentral:misc_RNA from 1 species
GAAAUGCGAUAAGUAAUGUGAAUUGCAGAAUUCAGUGAAUCAUCGAAUCUUUGAACGCACAUUGCGCUCCUUGGUAUUCUUUGGAGCAUGCCUGUUUGAGUAUCAUGAAAUCUUCAAAGUAAAUCUUUUGUUAACUCAAUUGGUUUCUACUUUGGUAUUGGAGGUCUUUGCAGCUUCACACCUGCUACUCUUUGUUCAUUAGCUGGAUCUCAGUGUUAUGCUUGGUUCCACUCGGCGUGAUAAGUUAUCUAUCGCUGAGGACACUGUAAAAGGUGGCCAAGGUAAAUGCAGAUGAACCGCUUCUAAUAGUCCAUUGACUUGGACAAUACUUUUAUGAUCUGAUCUCAAAUCAGGUAGGACUACCCGCUGAACUUAAGC